UACGAAGGGGGCUAGCGUUGCUCGGAAUUACUGGGCGUAAAGGGCGCGUAGGCGGACAGUUUAGUCAGAGGUGAAAGCCCAGGGCUCAACCUUGGAAUAGCCUUUGAUACUGGCUGUCUUGAGUUCGGGAGAGGUGAGUGGAAUGCCGAGUGUAGAGGUGAAAUUCGUAGAUAUUCGGCGGAACACCAGUGGCGAAGGCGACUCACUGGCCCGAUACUGACGCUCAGGCGCGAUAGCGUGGGGAUCAAACAGG
rnacentral:rRNA from 1 species